CAGUAGCCGCGGGAAUACGAAGGGGGCUAGCGUUGCUCGGAAUGACUGGGCGUAAAGGGCGCGUAGGCGGCUUGGUAAGUUAGAGGUGAAAGCCUGGAGCUCAACUCCAGAAUUGCCUUUAAGACUGCCGAGCUAGCAGGUGAGAGAGGUAAGUGGAAUUCCGAGUGUAGAGGUGAAAUUCGUAGAUAUUCGGAAGAACACCAGUGGCGAAGGCGGCUUACUGGCUCAUACUGGACACUGAGGUGCGAAAGCGUGGGGAGCAAACAGGAUUAGAUACCCCCGUAGUCCCUGUCUCUUAUAC
rnacentral:rRNA from 1 species